rnacentral:rRNA from 1 species
UACAGAGGGUGCAAGCGUUGUUCGGAAUUAUUGGCGUAAAGGGCGCGUAGGCGGUCAGCACAAGUCAGUUGUGAAAUCUCCGGGCUUAACUCGGAAAGGUCAACUGAUACUGUGCGACUAGAGUGCGGAAGGGGCAACUGGAAUUCUCGGUGUAGCGGUGAAAUGCGUAGAUAUCGAGAGGAACACCUGCGGCGAAGGCGGGUUGCUGGGCCGACACUGACGCUGAUGCGCGAAAGCCAGGGGAGCGAACGGGG